rnacentral:rRNA from 1 species
AAUAGAUACCCCGGUAGUCCACACCGUAAACGUUGGGCACUAGGUGUGGGGAGGAAUCAACCCUUUCCGUGCCGUAGCUAACGCAUUAAGUGCCCCGCCUGGGGAGUACGGCCGCAAGGCUAAAACUCAAAGGGAUUGACGGGGGCCCGCACAAGCGGCGGAGCAUGUUGCUUAAUUCGAGGCAACGCGAAGAACCUUACCUAGGUUGAACUACGCAGGAACAGCCACAGAGAUGUGGUGUCCUUCGGGGCCUGCGAUAGGUGGUGCAUGGCUGUCGUCAGCUCGUGUCGUGAGAUGUUGGGUUAAGUCCCGCAACGAGCGCAACCCUUAUCCCAUGUUGCCAGCACGUAAUGGUGGGGACUCGUGGGAGACCGCCGGGGUCAACUCGGAGGAAGGUGGGGACGACGUCAAGUCAUCAUGCCCCUUAUGUCUAGGGCUGCAAACAUGCUACAAUGGCUGGUACAAAGGGCUGCGAAACCGCGAGGUCGAGCGAAUUCCAAAAAGCCAGUCUCAGUUCGGAUUGAAGUCUGCAACUCGACUUCA